GGUAAGGUGGCCGAGAUGGCAGCAGGUUGUAGCCCUGUGCAGGUGGGUCUGAGUCCCAUUCUUAUCA
rnacentral:tRNA from 1 species